CUGUUCCCAUCCCGAACACAGAAGUUAAGCUCUCCAGUGCCGAUGAUACUUGGGUGGAGACGCCCUGGGAAAGCAGGUCGCUGCCGGAU
rnacentral:rRNA from 1 species